ACGCACGCUGGCGGCGUGCCUAAUACAUGCAAGUAGAACGCUGAAGGAGGAGCUUGCUUCUCUGGAUGAGUUGCGAACGGGUGAGUAACGCGUAGGUAACCUGCCUGGUAGCGGGGAUAACUAUUGGAAACGAUAGCUAAUACCGCAUAAUAGUAGAUGUUGCAUGACAUUUGCUUAAAAGGUGCAAUUGCAUCACUACCAGAUGGACCUGCGUUGUAUUAGCUAGUUGGUGGGGUAACGGCUCACCAAGGCGACGAUACAUAGCCGACCUGAGAGGGUGAUCGGCCACACUGGGACUGAGACACGGCCCAGACUCCUACGGGAGGCAGCAGUAGGGAAUCUUCGGCAAUGGACGGAAGUCUGACCGAGCAACGCCGCGUGAGUGAAGAAGGUUUUCGGAUCGUAAAGCUCUGUUGUAAGAGAAGAACGAGUGUGAGAGUGGAAAGUUCACACUGUGACGGUAUCUUACCAGAAAGGGACGGCUAACUACGUG
rnacentral:rRNA from 1 species